rnacentral:tRNA from 1 species
UUAACGAUGGUUUUUCAGGCCAUAGAUCUUGGAAAAAAGCCAAGCAGGAAUU